CCGGCCUUUGGCUGAGGAGUGGGUGACUACUAUGUUUGCCCAUAAGGAUUUCUGCAGGCCAGGGACCCAGGAUAGACCAGAGUAGAAAGAUGAGGCUAUAAGGAAGUUUAUGCAGUAAGGGAUAAAUUAUUACAAAGAAAAUUCUUUAUGUUUAAUCUGAAUGACAGAAUGGUAGCUCAUGAAUAGAUUUUAAAAAUUUAGGAGGAAAAUAGUGGUAAGAAGGCAUAGCAAAUUAGUGUUAGACAUAAUGAUUUUGAGUAGGCCGUACAAGUGGAAAUGUUCAGAAUACAGAGGAAGGUGAUAUGUGAGAGAAAUGCAUGAGAAAAGAUAGUGCUCAGAUGUCACACUAUAGUUCAUGAGACUAAGAUGUAGCCAAUCAUAACAAAGUAUUAUUUUUCAAUCUUUAAAAAAACCUUAACAUAUAUACAAAAUAAACACAAGGGUGAAUAAGAGAAUCAACAUUUAUAGCAGUGUAUCAUGUUGCUAUGGUUUGAAUAUUUGUCCCCUCCAACACUGAUGUUGAAAUUUAAUCCUCAAUGUGGCAGUAUUGAGAGGUGAGGCCUUUAAGAGGUUAUUGGGUCAUGAGAGCAAAGCCCUCAUGAAUGGAGUAAUCCAUGCAUGAAUUAUGGAUUACUAGAUUAAUGAGUUAAUAGAUUAAUGGGAGUGGGACGGUGGUUUUAUAAGAAGAGAAUGAGAGAUUUGAACAAGCAUGCUCAGCCACGUCACCAUGUGAUACCCUGUAUCACCUCUGGACUCUAUGUACAGAGUCCCCACAAACAAGAAGCCUCUAACCAGAUGUGGACCCUUGACCCUGGACUUCUCAGUUUCUAGAACUGCAAGAAAUACAUUCCUUUUCUUUAUAAAUUGUCCAGUUUCAGGUAUUCUGUUAUGAGCAACAGCAAGUGGACUAAUACACAUGUACUAAUAAAACUAAACUAACUUACAUUGCUGCUUCAUUACUUGGUGAGAGAAGAGACAUCUACUCACGGAAGAAUCUAUUUACUCAAUAAUGGCACCUUACAUUUAUAAAUUAUAAUAGUUGUCUACUAACAUCUCCUUAAAUAUGUAAGUUACAGAGCUAAUAAAUGAGAUGACCAAGAUUUUAGUUAUAAUUAAAAGAAAAAAUUUAACUCUUCUUAAAAAAAAAUUUUGUUCAAUUUGUUGGAUAAUGACGCACUGGUUUAAAAGAUGCACAGCAAUUUAACGUAUGUGUGUACACACAUAUCUCAAAAGAAAGCUUCACAAAGCAUUACUUACUCUUAAUACUUGCUCUUACAUUUUCUAUUCUAUUGCUUUUCAUUUUUUCAUUUUUUUCCUUUUUAAUACUGCCUAUAGCUUCUAAGUUGAUUUCAGCAUCUAUAGUUUGGCUUAGAGAUUUUUAGAUUAAAAAGAGACAUUUAUGAUCAUUUUAUAGAACCAUCUGUAAAGCUAUGAUUGAAAAAUCCAGAAGAGAUAUUUUUAAGAAAAUGUAAAAAAGAAAAAAACCAGAAAAUGAAUGGUUGCGAGCUACUAACAGAGUGGGAAAAGAGACAAAGGAUAGAUAAAAUCAGGUCAUAGGGUGGACAAAGACAGUAUCAAAGAGGACAAUGUUGCAAAAAUGAAUGUGAAGUCAACAAAAGCUUAUUUCAAUACCUGUCUUUACCUUUACUGCAGGGUAUUUCGAAGUGUAGUCCAAAACUAAUUUAAGCCAAAAUACCAGGGACACUUGCUAAAAAUUCAGAUACCUGGGCCCCAUCCCAGACCUAGUGAAUUAAACUCUCUUUGGCAAUUGAAAAGUUUCCCAGGGCAUCCUUUUAACUAAGUAUUGUUAUCUCAAUUCCUUUUACAAAUCAGCUUUCAAAGUGGUACUUUCCAAAAACAUGCCAACUCACUUCACACAUAGGUAUAUUUCUGAAAAGUUGUUAGGUGAGUACUUGUACACCAAACCAUUAUUCCCCUAAAGACUAUCAUGAUCAUUUCAGAAUUAUGUUCAUCCAGAAAGAAACAAACCAGAUUGGAGACCAUUCAACCUUUAAACAAAUAUUCUUUAUUUUUCUGUAUUACUUAUGUAAGAGGUUGACCAAAUGGACUCACAUACUCAUUAUUUUUACUUAGUUUAGAAGCAUGUAUAUUUAAAAUUACAACAUACUGUUAACACAUUCCAUUUUGACUUUGAACACUUUGAACUAAUUGCACUAAACUUAACUGGUUAAUUAUCAUAAUCAAGUGGCAUUUAGCAGAACUCACAAACAGAAAAAGUGCCACAGGAAGACAGUUUUCAGAAAAUACAAAAACUGAGGUUUGUGGUUUGGACUCUUAACAGCAAAGAUAUCCCUUUAUGUGGUGAGCUCUGCUAACAAAAAGUAUUUGUCAACUUCUUGCCAAUAGAUAGCCAAGAAGUAUGAGAUGUGAAUCUAUUCAAUUCAAAGAUGGAAAUAACAGGCAGUCACAAGAACAUCACCGUACAAUGAAGGACAUUAAAUACAUUGCUGGGGGAGGCGCUUCCAAGAUGGCCAAAU
rnacentral:lncRNA from 1 species